rnacentral:rRNA from 1 species
GUCGAGAAUCUUUCACAAUGGGGGCAACCCUGAUGGAGCGACGCCGCGUGAAGGAUAAGGUCUUCGGAUUGUAAACUCCUGUCAUGCGUGAACAAGGUUGCUUGGUUAAUACCUGGGCAAAUUGAUGGUAACGCAAGAGGAAGAGACGGCUAACUCUGUGCCAGCAGCCGCGGUAAUACAGAGGUCUCAAGCGUUGUUCGGAAUCACUGGGCGUAAAGGGUGCGUAGGUGGCGUGGUAAGUCAGAUGUGAAAGCCCGGGGCUCAACCUCGGAACUACAUCCGAUACUGCCAUGCUAGAGUACGGGAGAGGUGACUAGAAUUCUCGGUGUAGCAGUGAAAUGCGUAGAUAUCGAGAGGAAUACCAAAGGCGUAGGCAGGUCACUGGACAGUUACUGACACUGAGGCACGAAGGCCAGGGGAGCGAACGGGAUUAGAUACCCGGGUAGUCC